rnacentral:rRNA from 1 species
AGCGUACACGGUGGAUGCCCUGGCAGUCAGAGGCGAUGAAGGACGUGCUAAUCUGCGAUAAGCGUCGGUAAGGUGAUAUGAACCGUUAUAACCGGCGAUUUCCGAAUGGGGAAACCCAGUGUGAUUCGUCACACUAUCAUUAACUGAAUCCAUAGGUUAAUGAGGCGAACCGGGGGAACUGAAACAUCUAAGUACCCCGAGGAAAAGAAAUCAACCGAGAUUCCCCCAGUAGCGGCGAGCGAACGGGGAGCAGCCCAGAGCCUGAAUCAGUGUGUGUGUUAGUGGAAGCGUCUGGAAAGGCGCGCGAUACAGGGUGACAGCCCCGUACACAAAAAUGCACAUACUGUGAGCUCGAUGAGUAGGGCGGGACACGUGGUAUCCUGUCUGAAUAUGGGGGGACCAUCCUCCAAGGCUAAAUACUCCUGACUGACCGAUAGUGAACCAGUACCGUGAGGGAAAGGCGAAAAGAACCCCGGCGAGGGGAGUGAAAAAGAACCUGAAACCGUGUACGUACAAGCAGUGGGAGCACAGAGCAAUCUGUGUGACUGCGUACCUUUUGUAUAAUGGGUCAGCGACUUAUAUUCUGUAGCAAGGUUAACCGAAUAGGGGAGCCGAAGGGAAACCGAGUCUUAACUGGGCGUUAAGUUGCAGGGUAUAGACCCGAAACCCGGUGAUCUAGCCAUGGGCAGGUUGAAGGUUGGGUAACACUAACUGGAGGACCGAACCGACUAAUGUUGAAAAAUUAGCGGAUGACUUGUGGCUGGGGGUGAAAGGCCAAUCAAACCGGGAGAUAGCUGGUUCUCCCCGAAAGCUAUUUAGGUAGCGCCUCGUGAAUUCAUCUCCGGGGGUAGAGCACUGUUUCGGCAAGGGGGUCAUCCCGACUUACCAACCCGAUGCAAACUGCGAAUACCGGAGAAUGUUAUCACGGGAGACACACGGCGGGUGCUAACGUCCGUCGUGAAGAGGGAAACAACCCAGACCGCCAGCUAAGGUCCCAAAGUCAUGGUUAAGUGGGAAACGAUGUGGGAAGGCCCAGACAGCCAGGAUGUUGGCUUAGAAGCAGCCAUCAUUUAAAGAAAGCGUAAUAGCUCACUGGUCGAGUCGGCCUGCGCGGAAGAUGUAACGGGGCUAAACCAUGCACCGAAGCUGCGGCAGCGACGCUGAUGCGUUGUUGGGUAGGGGAGCGUUCUGUAAGCCUGUGAAGGUGUGCUGUGAGGCAUGCUGGAGGUAUCAGAAGUGCGAAUGCUGACAUAAGUAACGAUAAAGCGGGUGAAAAGCCCGCUCGCCGGAAGACCAAGGGUUCCUGUCCAACGUUAAUCGGGGCAGGGUGAGUCGACCCCUAAGGCGAGGCCGAAAGGCGUAGUCGAUGGGAAACAGGUUAAUAUUCCUGUACUUGGUGUUACUGCGAAGGGGGGACGGAGAAGGCUAUGUUGGCCGGGCGACGGUUGUCCCGGUUUAAGCGUGUAGGCUGGUUUUCCAGGCAAAUCCGGAAAAUCAAGGCUGAGGCGUGAUGACGAGGCACUACGGUGCUGAAGCAACAAAUGCCCUGCUUCCAGGAAAAGCCUCUAAGCAUCAGGUAACAUCAAAUCGUACCCCAAACCGACACAGGUGGUCAGGUAGAGAAUACCAAGGCGCUUGAGAGAACUCGGGUGAAGGAACUAGGCAAAAUGGUGCCGUAACUUCGGGAGAAGGCACGCUGAUAUGUAGGUGAAGUCCCUCGCGGAUGGAGCUGAAAUCAGUCGAAGAUACCAGCUGGCUGCAACUGUUUAUUAAAAACACAGCACUGUGCAAACACGAAAGUGGACGUAUACGGUGUGACGCCUGCCCGGUGCCGGAAGGUUAAUUGAUGGGGUUAGCGCAAGCGAAGCUCUUGAUCGAAGCCCCGGUAAACGGCGGCCGUAACUAUAACGGUCCUAAGGUAGCGAAAUUCCUUGUCGGGUAAGUUCCGACCUGCACGAAUGGCGUAAUGAUGGCCAGGCUGUCUCCACCCGAGACUCAGUGAAAUUGAACUCGCUGUGAAGAUGCAGUGUACCCGCGGCAAGACGGAAAGACCCCGUGAACCUUUACUAUAGCUUGACACUGAACAUUGAGCCUUGAUGUGUAGGAUAGGUGGGAGGCUUUGAAGUGUGGACGCCAGUCUGCAUGGAGCCGACCUUGAAAUACCACCCUUUAAUGUUUGAUGUUCUAACGUUGACCCGUAAUCCGGGUUGCGGACAGUGUCUGGUGGGUAGUUUGACUGGGGCGGUCUCCUCCUAAAGAGUAACGGAGGAGCACGAAGGUUGGCUAAUCCUGGUCGGACAUCAGGAGGUUAGUGCAAUGGCAUAAGCCAGCUUGACUGCGAGCGUGACGGCGCGAGCAGGUGCGAAAGCAGGUCAUAGUGAUCCGGUGGUUCUGAAUGGAAGGGCCAUCGCUCAACGGAUAAAAGGUACUCCGGGGAUAACAGGCUGAUACCGCCCAAGAGUUCAUAUCGACGGCGGUGUUUGGCACCUCGAUGUCGGCUCAUCACAUCCUGGGGCUGAAGUAGGUCCCAAGGGUAUGGCUGUUCGCCAUUUAAAGUGGUACGCGAGCUGGGUUUAGAACGUCGUGAGACAGUUCGGUCCCUAUCUGCCGUGGGCGCUGGAGAACUGAGGGGGGCUGCUCCUAGUACGAGAGGACCGGAGUGGACGCAUCACUGGUGUUCGGGUUGUCAUGCCAAUGGCACUGCCCGGUAGCUAAAUGCGGAAGAGAUAAGUGCUGAAAGCAUCUAAGCACGAAACUUGCCCCGAGAUGAGUUCUCCCUGACUCCUUGA